rnacentral:rRNA from 1 species
CCCCUAGAUGUUCUGGACCGCACGCGCGCUACACUGAACAGUUCAACAAGUCUUAACCUUGGCCGAUAGGUCUGGGUAAUCUUUGAACGCUGUUCGUGAUUGGGAUAGACCUUUGCAAUUAUGGGUCUUCAACGAGGAAUUCCUAGUAAACGCAAGUCAUCAGCUUGCAUUGAUUACGUCCCUGCCCUUUGUACACACCGCCCGUCGCACCUACCGAUUGAAUGGUCCGGUGAAAUCUCGGGACGGCGGCUUGGUCGCUUGCGUCCGACUGCUGAAACUUGAUUAAACCAUNUNAUUUAGNGGAAGGUGAANUCGUANCA